UUCAGAUUUACCUCUACGAAAACCAAACUGAUUUGCUGGUAAAUGGUAGCUACCUAAGGGAUCAUUAUGUACUAUCCAAUGUGAAGCAAGAGAUAUGCAAGGGGAUGCAAUAGUAAGGUCAAGCGCAUUACUCUGCCAUCUGUGUGAUCCUACUGUAGUCGGUGUACCAUCAUUUAAGAGGACCAAGUUGUUACCAUCAA